UGAACUGGCAACAAAAGGGGAUCUGGAAAAAAUGAAAUCAGAAAUAAUUUCUCAGAGAACAGGAGAAAUUGUGCCCCUAGUGCAAGACAUGAUUAAUAAACCUAGAGAGGAGCUGAGGAACAUGAUGGAGUCCCAACAUAAGAAACAAAUGGAAUCCAUAAAACAGAUGCAAAUAGAUUUCCAGGACAUGAAAAACUCCAUUGAAAGUCUACACAGCAGAAUGAGCCAAUGCCAUGUUGUUUCUCCUCUGUGAUGCUUGCUUGCCAUCCCUGCCUUGGAGCCAGCCCAUUAUGGACUGAAACCUCUACAAACUUUUUCUCCCAGGUACCAGCUAUGGGAAUGAAAGUGCUGGAGUCUUAUUGAGCCCUGAAGGAGUGACGUUCAGGUGCCCACUGCAGCAGGGACGGACCCAGAAGACAGCUGGGGAAGCAAAGAGAGCUGGGUCUUCUGGCUUGGACCCGGCUUGGAGAGGAUCCCAGGAAAAAGCACAGAGUGAGUCGAAGCACUGGCCAGAUGGCGACCCUGUGAGCUCUCUGAUUCUCCUUUCUUUAUCUGUAAAAUGAGGGGCUCCC
rnacentral:lncRNA from 1 species